CAAGAAUUCCAGAGGCAACCUCCCGCCCACACGCUGGGGUGGAGGCGGCCUGUUCCCUAGUGCUCCUGUCACUCAUCUGUGCCGGCACCUUUGGUUUUCACCAUAGGAUCCUCGGAUUCCUCAAGGCCCUUCACCUCCAGGAAAAGCUAAGACUCUCAAGAGGGGGAGGCACGUGAGGGAUGACACAGGAUUGAGUCAUGGAAACUGCUCAUGGUAAUGAAGGGAGUCCUAGGCAAGAAGGACCUCUCCAGAAAGAUGCUGCACAUUUCUGCUUUUUCUUGGCUUUCAGUUCUUAAGGCUCCCAAAGAAAACUCCACUUGCACAAUUUCUCCUUGUUCCUUCGGCCUUUCAGCAAUUACCCAGCCCAUUCCCAAAGCCUGGGACUCUGUGUCAUCUUGAAUGGUUCACGCCUCCUUGUUCCUGAUCUUCUUUCCCCACCUCCUCCCAUCCUUCCUGCCCCCAGUUCCCCAGAUAGUAACGAAAGCAAGGUCCUUGGGUCCUGGGAGCACCCACAUGUUCUUUUGGGAGGGCUGAGUGGCUACUGACAGCAAGAACAGAACCUAGGGCCAGUGUCGCAGAAUUCCCAGAGCUGUGCCAGUUUAAGGGCUACCCACAGGCAUCUCUAUGCUUUGCCAUUUGCCCCUGUAAGAAGUAAGGUCGGGAGUCCUGGAGAAGUCAAGCUCAAGUCGUCCUUUGUAACGACACUAAAGCUCACCUUGAGUUCACUUCACACGGGCCAGUCACAACCACUUAAUUCUGUCCUCACAGCCCAUCAGCAGGCACUGUGGUGUUUCUAUCUUAUGGAGGAGGACGCCAGGGCUUGCCCAACGCUAUCACCUUGCCAGAGUCGUGCUGCUGAAUGAUGGCAGAUCUAGGGUGCUGUCGUGGGUGUCUCUGUCUCCCUCCCACAUCCCAGUCUCUACCCACCAUACUCCCUGGAAGUGGAGAGCAAUCACAGAUCUGCUGGUUUCUUUCUCUGCACCUGGCAACCUCUGGAGGGCAAGGCCUGCACUUUUCCAGCUGUGACACCAGCCCAUGUGUCUCAUAUCAUUUCUCUCUCAUGUAGCAAGAAUUUCUCCCCAGAAAGGAGGUGGCAAAGAUGGGCAGGGGGUGCAAAGGUGGGGGCUCUGACAGCCAGGUUCCAGGGUGCACUGCUGAGCCAGCCCACAACCAUGGUGAGGCAGGGAGAUUCCGCAGGACUCCGUAUCCGUGCUUUGAAGAUGGCUUUCGUGCUUUUAGUCUUUUCUUUGUUCAUUUGUUGUUUGUUUUCUGAUGAUGUUUUAGUAAAAAGUUCUUUUGAAAAUCCCAAGCUUUCUCAGCUGUGCAAAGGGGAACAAAGAACAGGGCUUUGGUGUUUUGUCCGGACUUGGACAGGUGUCCCGCUGAGGAAGUGGCCUGUCCCAGCCCCAGUCGGGUGGUGCUGGGAGGGUGGGGAGAGAGGCAACCAGGCUCAGCUUGGCCGGGGCUUCUGUGUGCCCUUCCGUCGGCUACCUUCCUCCUUUAGAGCUGUCUUUGUUGGAUUUGCCCUUUUCCAUAAGGAGCCAUCGACCCCUUUAUCAUCCAACACAAUGGAGGUUUAUGAGAAACAUAUUCCAGGAAGGUUACCAAUUUUUCCCUUAAAUAGACCCAAGUCAAAUUGCUGAUCCUCCC
rnacentral:lncRNA from 1 species